rnacentral:rRNA from 1 species
AACGAACGCUGGCGGCAUGCCUAACACAUGCAAGUCGAACGAAACCUCCGGGUCUAGGGGCUAACCGAUGCGUAACCCGUUGAAUCAUGCCCGAAGGACCUGCACAAGUCCUCGAAAGGACUUCUAAUACCGGGUAAUGACAUCGGACCAAAGAUUCUUCGCCUUUGGAUGGGCUCGCGUUGUAUUACCUAGUUGGUAGGGUAAACGCCUACCAAGGCGACGAUCCAUAGCGGGUCUGAGAGGAUGCUCAGCCACACUGGGACUGAGACACGGCCCAGACUCCUACGGGAGGCAGCAGUGGGGAAUAUUGGACAAUGGGCGAAAGCCUGAUCCAGCAAUGCCGCGUGAGUGAUGAAGGCCUUAUGGUUGUAUAGCUCUUUUGCCCGGGAUGAUAAUGACAGUACCGGGAGAAUAAGCUCCGGCUAACUCCGUG